AAGACUAUAGACCUGCGGAGUACCUGCGGAAGGAUCAUUGACAAAUCUUUUUAAAAUUAAGUGCCCAUUUUCGAAUUUUUAAGCCGUAAAAAAGUUUAAAAAUUUAAUUUUGGGAUAUUUACUCGGGGCUAUAAAGAAAUUUUCUUUUAGCUCUCAUGAAGGAUAGAAAUAUUCUUCGAGUGUUUUAUUAUCAUUUCUUGCCUUUUCGGAUUCGUUUGAGAAUGUGAAUGAAAUGAUAGU
rnacentral:misc_RNA from 1 species